AGUAUUGCUAUUUUUUUUGUCCGUCCUUCAAGGUAAAUUGCCAUAGACUAUAGACAAUAUGUUAGUAAAACUAAGUACACACAGAAGUUUUUGCAUUGGAAAAAAGUCUUGAUGACGGGUGAUAUUUUUUAAUUCUCCGAUUUUGGAGAACUGUGAAGUGCCAAUUACAUCCACACUUUAUCAGACCCGAUUUUGGGCCUAGAAAUAAUAUUUUUCCAUUUCACCAAAUAUCAACACAUCAAUAUCAAACAUUGAACAUUUUUGGCAAUUAGAGACAAAGUAUUUUUUACAUUUCAAAUAUUGUUAACGAUGUGGUGGUAUUCGUUGAAACGGAAAACGAUUAUUAGGCUCGAAAUCAGGAUUGAUUUGAGUUUCAGGCCUGAUAAUCGUCAGGGUUACUCCGGGCCCGAUCAUGUAGCACAUACUUUAAUUUAUUUUUACUGGAAGCCGAUUCCAUGAACAUGGUUAAAAAAAAGUUGUCUUGUCUUUGGUAUGAGCAAUGAACAUUGGUGGAGUAGAAAUUUUAAUAAAAUUAAAGUAAUGAAAUGAAACGAGCACAGACUGAUAACUGAAUUUCGCAAUGAGUAAGAAACGGGGAGGAAGGCAUCUUCUUUCAUUUUGUGUUGUUUAAUUUACUAUAAGUACAGUUUGAUGUCUUUUAUUUAAUGUAUAACACGGCCAAUAUAUGUCCGCGAGAGGUGUAGAAGAGUAAUGUUUGGGUGAUGGAGUCACCGCCUUCGUUUUCAACACAUUCCGAGGUGCCUCCUUUAAGUGAAGACAGUGGUCUACUCAUCACCAGCGGAUCCUUCUCGAGCGAUUCCGCUAGCGGCUGGCAUCACGUUACAUCCGAGUUACAAGAAAGUGAUUUUGAUGAAAAAUCUCUGUCACUAUGCGAGUCGACGGAAACAUCGGAGCGAAUGUGUGGCGAUUUUUUUAACACCGUCAAGAAAGGCCCAGGAAAAGUCUUACUAACGACUAUUGACCCACCUCCUGAAUUUCAGGAUAAUCCAGUGCCCCUCAAUAUUGUGGAAGUUGCAACUUUAUUUGUUCCUCCAACCGUUGUGUAUAAUAAUGACUCUGUAAAGUCAAAAUCGUCGGUUCUUGAAAUUCCUAUGACGAGACAUUUGUCUCCAUUAUACGCGAAAAAAUUGAAACCGGAAUCAUUGUACGAGCGGCGGCAGUGCCUGAACCACCGGUUCGCAAGUCCGCGGCUGCUGCACUUGAGCCCGUGCCGCGGCACGCGCCCCUCCUCGCGGAACUCGCUCACCUCCCGCCUCUCCAGCAGCCACAACUCCCUCAUCACACAGUUCCAGGACGACUCCAGUUUCAUCACCCAAGCCAUCUCCCACGAUACGCUCUCCGCCAACACCUCCGACAUCACUGAUAUGUACAAUGUGCCCUUUGACAGCGACAUCUACGCCGUCCCCGUCGACAUGGUUCGUCCCGGUCAGAGCAAUAUGAGAAAAGGCAAAAAACCACCUAGAACCAAUAAGAAACGCGGCAAAAACGCAUCACAAAAUUUGACAACGAAUCACGUGCAGACGGACAGAAAUCACAAGCCAAAGGAAAUAACGAACCGACAUAAAGAUUCCAAAAAUAAAAGGCACAGCUUGCCAAGUUCGUCUUGUAGGAAGAAUAUAUCUGACUCAGAGGCGGACUCGCUCCACCUGACGUUGCGCGAAAUGCGAAAAUAUUUGCAUACUCUGUACUCUAGCUCGAGCGACUCCGAGUGCCGGAACACGCUGAACAAGAAGAAUAAUAUAACGAACGUGGAGAUACACGUGCGGCCACCGAAAGACGCCAAAUCUAAUAAGGAUAAUGAGAUAUGCAGUGCGUUAGAAACGAAUAAUAAUCAUAAAAAGCCUCAUAAAAACUCUUUUGGUAUGAAUAUUAAGAAUAAGAAACAUAAAGAGGUUCCUAAGGACGAUACGGCCGAUAAGAGUGUUAAGACGCCACGUCAGAGUCAAAAGAAGAUGUCGCCGGUGCGGAUUUUGUCGUUGAACUUGAAGCAGAGUUUUUGUAAUCUGUUUCGUUGGCGGCGGGCGGGCGGGUUGGAGCGGGAGCGGGGGGAGGAGGUGGUCGUGGAGCCGCCGGCGGCGGUGCGUCGUGCGCUGCCGCCGCUACCGUCCGCGCCGCAGUCGUCACGCCGCGAGGGGGACGACGCCGUCAUGGACUUCGCUACCUCCAUACAGAGGGUCAAAGACUAUGGCUGGUAUUGGGGUCCUAUAUCGGUGGAGGCGGCCGAGAAGAUCCUUUCGAACGAACCGGACGGCUCGUUCAUAGUGCGCGACAGUAGCGACGACCAUUACAUAUUCACAUUAACUUUUAAGCUAAACGGAAUGAGACAUGUAAGGAUUGAACAUGAUCAGGGUAAUUUCUGUUUCGGCGGGUGCACAAUGUUCAAAGCGCAGACAAUAGUGGAGUUCAUAGAGAACGCGGUGGAGACGUCGCGCAGCGGCCGCUACCUGUUCUUCCUGAACCUGCGGCCGGUGCUCGGACCCGUGCGCGUGCAGCUGCUCUACCCCGUAUCGCGGUUCAAGCGUGUACAGAGCCUGCAGCACAUGUGCAGGUGUGUGGUGUACGAUAUAAAGCCCAGACAAUAGUGGAGUUCAUAGAGAACGCGGUGGAGACGUCGCGCAGCGGCCGCUACCUGUUCUUCCUGAACCUGCGGCCGGUGCUCGGGCCCGUGCGCGUGCAGCUGCUCUACCCCGUAUCGCGGUUCAAGCGUGUACAGAGCCUGCAGCACAUGUGCAGGUUUGUGAUAUUAAAAUACGUAAGACGGGACCUGAUAAGCAACCUGCCGCUGCCGAGGCGUCUCCUGGACUACCUGAACACCACGCACUACUACUCAGAACUCCUUGCCGAAAUAUAGGACCUGUAUGUUGGUUAGUCCUAUUUGUAAAACGCGCGCUAGCCCGUCGACAUCGAUUGACAACCGACAAAAGGAAACAUUUGUGAUCAUUGACUUGUACUUAGAUUUAAGAUUUUUUAGCGACUGCCACGAUGUUAUUUAUCGAUGUUGGGAUGUGGUAGGUACAAAUGGCGAACGAUUUUAUUCUUUUGGGAAAGUCACAUCCGUAUAUCCAUAGCCAAGCGAUGCAUAUGUAAUCGUUUUGCAUUCCAUUUAUUGAGCUUUCUAAUUGAUAAUAUUUUUUCACGCAAUAUAUAGACAAUCAACACAUUCUGUGCAUGUACCUGAUAAUAUUGCUAUCACUAGUAGACUUGUUUGUUUGUACGGGAUGCUGCGUUCAAACAAAGCCUAAUGAUAGUUAUGAUAGAGGACCUCAACAGGUACAGAUUUGACCUCCAUGUUUAGCGCAAAUUAAUACAUUCGGAGAUAUCAUCGAAAUUUGAUUCCUAACAUUGUAAUCCAUCACAAGUUUUAAUUUAUAUGUGGUUUAUAUGUAAUAGAUUCUGGACUUCUGACCAUUCAUACUUAUUGAAAUAAUCAAGUCCAAGAAAUUUAGAGAUAUAAUAUCCAAUAUUACUACUCUUCACAACUUUUCAUUUAGUCUAGUUUUUUUCAUCACAAAGGACAUAAAAUUGAUAAUUUGUUUGAAACCAUUAAUUUUCGAUGAAAAUACAUGGGGAUAAAUCGAUAGCUAUUAAGGUCCUCUAGCAUUGGUCUCCGUCGGAUCCAUACUGAACACGAAUCCGUGUAUAUAUUUAUCUCUGAAAAUUCAAAUGUUGGUACUUUAUGUACGUUUUGUUAUGUUAUCCCGGUAGAGUUGUGCUAUUCGUGCGAAGUCUGGCCCGUCGUCUUGUCCGUGCAGUUUCCGUGCUCGACUAUAUUGCGUCCGUAUCGUGCGUUUCAUUGUGAACGUGCACAAUAUGUUAAUAAGUAUUGCUUAAUGACGGAAGUUAACGGUUACCGUCUACCGCGCACAUUCGCGUAAACAAUCUGUUAGAUAAGUAGCCUUCUAUUCACUGGAAACUACGUGAUGCCAACAUACGCUUUUACAAGCUCUAGCGACUAAGUUCACGACUGAAGUUUCGCAUAAUAAAGCAAUCUGUUUGUCAUGGUACAAACUCAGUACAUAUUAUAUACAGAGUAGAUACUUAAGUCUUUUAUAUUUUGUGUGGCGAUGUACCUAUUAUGAUAUACCAUAGAUGAUUGUUAGCUGCCAAAAUGUCCCGGGCGUUUGGGACGCGUAUCAUGUUCCAGCAAUACUUAAUGUUAAGUUUUAAAAUGAACGACGCAAAAUGUAGAUGUAUUUAUUGUUAAUCGUAAUGAUCUGGAAAACGUGUCAAUUGGGAAGUUAGUAUAACCGUGGUGUUAAGUACGAUGGCAUGGUUGAUAGGUUUUCUAGAGAUGUGAAGCUAUUUAUUUCCCCUCCGGUUAGUAGGGUUACUGCCUUAAUCGAUAAUACAAUGUUCUAUAGUAACGUCGCCUGUGAACGUAUUACUAAGCUAAUUUAAUUAUUAAUUAUAAUGCAAUAAUAUAUGUUCUAUGAGUCAACUUAAACUUUGUUCUAGUUGUUAUUUAUACAGUUUCGAGUAAUGCGCUUUAAAUCUUAAAGUGCACAGCCUCAUGUUCAAAUUUAUUAAUGGUUGUAUAUAGAAAUCAUUCAAUGUAAUGUUAUUGUAUUAUUAGAUUUUUAAUAUAAAAUGAUUUGACUUGUGGAUAGUGUGUGGUUUGCUCAGCGAGGUGCUCGCCGGACUGACAUCGAAGUAUCGAGUAAUCGUAAUGGAACCAGUUGUGAGAGUCAGUUGUGAACGACUAAAAUUAUAUUUCACGAAGCAUUGAUCAAAAUUUACGCGUCCUACUCAGUGUCAUGAAUCAUGGCCUAUUGAAAGUCUCACUUGUAUAGUCUUACAUUUUGAUACAAUUGUUGCUAUUAUUCGCUCAUUUUCAAGUCUUUCAUUUUAAAAACUGGCACCAAAUUGGAUAUUUGUUAGCUAAAUAUAAAAAGUUAUCGACUAUCAUUUUCUGACAGUAAAAAGACGUAUUGCCAUUAUUGUCGAUUUUGUUAUUAUUGCCAACAUUGUAGGACAGGCAUUGACUAUAUGAUUUUUAACAGUGCUUUGUGCGCAAGGGCCGUAAGAAAAGAAUAACAUCGAUGGUCGUUACAAAUUUCAGAUGCUGAAAGGUUUGUGACAGAUGAUAUUUGGCAAACUGAAUGACGAAUCUAAUUAAAAUA